rnacentral:rRNA from 1 species
AGCGAACGCUGGCGGCAGGCCUAACACAUGCAAGUCGAACGAAGCCUUCGGGCUUAGUGGCGGACGGGUGAGUAACACGUGGGAACGUACCUUUUGGUUCGGAACAACUCAGGGAAACUUGAGCUAAUACCGGAUGAGCCCUUAGGGGGAAAGAUUUAUCGCCGAAAGAUCGGCCCGCGUUGGAUUAGGUAGUUGGUGUGGUAAAGGCGCACCAAGCCUACGAUCCAUAGCUGGUCUGAGAGGAUGAUCAGCCACACUGGGACUGAGACACGGCCCAGACUCCUACGGGAGGCAGCAGUGGGGAAUCUUGCGCAAUGGGCGAAAGCCUGACGCGGCCAUGCCGCGUGAAUGAUGAAGGUCUUAGGAUUGUAAAAUUCUUUUACCAGGGACGAUAAUGACGGUACCUGGAGAAAAAGCCCCGGCUAACUUCGUGCCAGCCGCCGCCGGAAAAC